CCCCUAGAUGUUCUGGGCCGCACGCGCGCUACACUGAACAGUUCAACAAGUCUUAACCUUGGCCGAUAGGUCUGGGUAAUCUUUGAACGCUGUUCGUGAUUGGGAUAGACCUUUGCAAUUAUGGGUCUUCAACGAGGAAUUCCUAGUAAACGCAAGUCAUCAGCUUGCAUUGAUUACGUCCCUGCCCUUUGUACACACCGCCCGUCGCACCUACCGAUUGAAUGAUCCGGUGAAAUCUCGGGACGGCGGCUUGGUCGCUUGCGUCCGACUGCUGAAACUUGAUUAAACCAUAUCAUUUAGAGGAAGGUGAAGUCGUAACA
rnacentral:rRNA from 1 species